GCGCCAGUAAUCUAGCCUGGUAGGAUAUCAGCUUCCCAAGCUGAAUGCCCGGGUUCAAAUCCCGGCUGGCGCA
rnacentral:tRNA from 1 species